rnacentral:rRNA from 1 species
UACGUAGGGGGCAAGCGUUGUCCGGAUUUAUUGGGCGUAAAGAGCGUGUAGGCGCCAGACAGGUCCGUUGUGAAAACUCGAGGCUCAACCUCGAGAUGUCGAUGGAAACCGUCUGGCUAGAGUCCGGAAGAGGAGUGUGGAAUUCCUGGUGUAGCGGUGAAAUGCGCAGAUAUCAGGAAGAACACCCGUGGCGAAGGCGGCUCUCUGGGGACGGUAC